CGAACGGGUGAGUAACGCGUGAGGAACCUGCCCCAAAGAGGGGGACAACAGUUGGAAACGACUGCUAAUACCGCAUAAGCCCACGGCUCGGCAUCGAGCAGAGGGAAAAGGAGCAAUCCGCUUUGAGAUGGCCUCGCGUCCGAUUAGCUAGUUGGUGAGGUAAUGGCCCACCAAGGCGACGAUCGGUAGCCGGACUGAGAGGUUGAACGGCCACAUUGGGACUGAGACACGGCCCAA
rnacentral:rRNA from 1 species